rnacentral:ncRNA from 1 species
AAGUUUUAUUUUGGCUUAAGAAUUUAUUAUUAAUUUAUUUUAUAUGUAAAUUUUUGUGUGUAUGAUUAUUAUUUUAAUAAUAAUUUAAUUAUUUAGUCGCAGUAAUUAAUAUUGUAAAUUAAAGAGAUUUAGAUUUAGUUAUAUUAUUUAGUAUUAACAAAAUUUGUGCCAGCAGUUGCGGUUAUACAAAUAAUGCAAAUAAAUUUUAUUAGAUUUAGUUAAAUUGUUAAAUUAAAAUUAAAUGAAUUUUAUUAAGUGAAAUUUUAAUUUUUUUUAUUUUUAUAUGUUUAAAUGUUGAGGCUAAAAAAUUUCAUUUAUAAACUAGGAUUAGAUACCCUAUUAUUAGGAAUGUAUUGGUAUUUUUGGAGUAGUAAUAGGUAGGAUCUUGAAACUUAAAAAAUUUGGCGGUAUUUUAGUCUAUUCAGAGGAAUCUGUUCUUUAAUCGAUAAUCCACGAUGGAUCUCACUUAAAUUUGUUAUCAGUUUAUAUACCGUCGUUAAUAGAUUAUUUUAAUAGAAUAAUAAUUUUCAAUAAUUUUUAUAAAAAUUAAAAUCAGAUCAAGGUGUAGCUUAUAUUUAAGGAAGUAAUGGAUUACAAUAAUAUUAAUUUUGGAUUUUAAUUAAAAUAUAAUAAUGAAAUUGGAUUUGAAAGUAAAAUUAUAUAGAUUAAUGAUUUGAUUUUAGCUCUAAAAUAUGCACAAAUCGCCCGUCGCUCUUAUUUUAAAAUAAGAUAAGUCGUAACAUAGUAGAUGUACCGGAAGGUGUAUCUAGAAUA